GAUGAAGAACGCAGCUAAAUGCGAUAAGUAAUGUGAAUUGCAGAAUUCAGUGAAUCAUCGAAUCUUUGAACGCACCUUGCACCCUUUGGCAUUCCGAAGGGUAUGCUCGUUUGAGUGUCAUUGUACUCUCACACUUCCGAUCUUUGGAUUGGGAGCGGUGGACUUGGGUGUUGCUGCUUACUGUGGCUCACCUCAAAUCGAUUCGUGCACCUCUUGGUUGGACAUAGUACGGCGUGAUAAGUGUCUUCGCCGGCACCUCAGUAGAGGGUGGCUGAUCGGGAGCUCUGCUUCAAACCGUCCUCGGACAACAACUGACAACUUGACCUCAAAUCGAGUAGGACUACCCGCUGAACUUAAGCAUAUCAAUAAGCGGAGGA
rnacentral:misc_RNA from 1 species